GACGAACGCUGGCGGCGUGCUUAACACAUGCAAGUCGAACGGUAAGGCCCUGCUUUGGUGGGGUGCUCGAGUAGCGAACGUGUAAGUAUCACGUGAGUAACCUUCCCUUGUCGUUGGGCUAACUUCAGGAGAGUCUGGCUAAUACCGGAAAGGAGUGCCUGCUGCAGGGUGGGGGUUGGAAUGUUUCGGCGGUUGGGGAUGGACGCGCGGCCUAUCAGCUUGGUGGUGGGGUAGUGGCUUACCAAGGCUUUGACGGGUAGCCGGCCUGAGAGGGUGACCGGCCACAUUGGGACUGAGAUACGGCCCAGACUCCUACGGGAGGCAGCAGUGCGGAAUAUUGCACAAUGGGCGGAGGCCUGAUGCAGCAACGCCGCGUGCGGGAUGACGGCCUUCGGGUUGUAAACCGCUUUCGCCUGUGACGAAGCGUGAGUGACGGUAAUGGGUAAAGAAGCACCGGCUAACUACGUG
rnacentral:rRNA from 1 species